GGAAUAUUGCGCAAUGGAGGAAACUCUGACGCAGCAACGCCGCGUGCAGGAUGAAGGCCCUUCGGGUCGUAAACUGCUGUAGCAGGGGAAUAACGGUCUGCCACGGGUGGACAUGAAGGUACCCUGAAAGUAAGCGCCGGCUAACUACGUGCCAGCAGCCGCGGUAAUACGUAGGGCGCAAGCGUUGUCCGGAUUCACUGGGUGUAAAGGGUGCGCAGGCGGGAAAGUAAGUCAGGGGUGAAAUCUCACGGCUCAACCGUGAAACUGCCUUUGAUACUGCUUUUCUUGAGUUCGGGAGAGGUUGAUGGAAUUCCAGGUGUAGCGGUGAAAUGCGUAGAUAUCUGGAAGAACACCAGUGGCGAAGGCGGUCAACUGGCCCGUAACUGACGCUCAGGCACGAAAGCGUGGGUAGCGAAC
rnacentral:rRNA from 1 species